AAAUACCAAAUGCCUGGAAAACAAAAAUAUUUUCAAUUUGGCUAGCCUACUGUGGUGCCUUAUGGGAAUUGUAGUUUGGUUUCCUCACAUUCCCAUUCCUUUUUAUGGCUUGGGCCCCCCAGCUGGACUAUAUCUCCCAUGAUGCAACCACCUCCCAUCACUACCAGGUGAGACUGUGGUGCAUCAUGGGAGGUGCUGGGUGAACAGAGAGCUCAACCUUAAAAGAAUGGAAGCAUGAGGCACCUGAAGUACAACUUCCUGAGAAAGCCUGUUUUCCAAACAGCUCUACUCAAUUCCACUGUUUGCCAGCAGAACUGGUUGCCAUGGUGGACAGCCUGAGUGUGCAGCUGUUACUUUAGAUGGCUGGAUGAGGAGAGCCGCACUGACAACUUCAGCAGACUGCGCUGGAACUGUUGGCACAUACGGAAGCUUUGCAUAAUUUACUGAGUGACUCAUUGUGCCCAUUUUGGUGCCUCUUUUAGGAUGUCUCAUACCACUGAGUACAUUUUAUAAGCCACUUGCUACUUCUGAAAGAAACAGUCUCUGUUUAAAAAACUGCUUGAAAGCCACUUUUCAAAUCUGCUUUUAGUGAUCUUAUUUUGCCACAGAAGGGGAGAAAAAAAAAACUGGCCUCAUUUACUGCAAAUCACAUCAGCACAGAGUUAAUGCUCCCAGCAAAACAGAAGAAGAAUAAUGAAUGCUUACCCAUGGUGUCCACAAUGAGAUCCAGCUGUCCGUUAUAGACAGUAAUGUUGACAUUGGCUGCCAGCAGCGCAUCCACAAUAUCAAUGACAGGCUUCAUGAAGUCUUCAGCCAUGUGUAAGAAGACUUCUUCUGACUGACCUAUUCAUAUGGAUCCAAACAUGAAAGUCAGUGCAAUUGACUAAGCAUGUCAUCUUUAAACUGCGGCAUCAGCAGCAGGGCUUGACAAGAGUUGUGAAAUACAAUUGGUUGCUGCAGAAAAGCAACCACUAGAAUGGUACACUCCAGACCACAGUGAUCAGUCUGAGUGACUGGAGAAUGGCCAAGUUCCACAUAUACACAGGAGAUAUCAAAGCAGCACAGCACAUGUUUGUAACAGUACUACACAUGCGGAUUUGUCAGUUUCCAUCUCCCAUUACAAAUCUGGAAGGGUCCUGGCAGGUAUUCAGCAUUGCUCUCUAAUGUUUCUCUCUGGUUUGAUUUACACCCUCCUUUCCCUUAACUCCCACAGCACUGGCUUUCUGGCAGAGGAGAAUGGCUAUCGAAUCCUUUUGGCAGACUGAGUUGCACAGAUAGUUUUCAGCUGCUCAAGUAUGAGGCAUACUCUCCCUUCCAGGGUGUGCACCUAGCAGGCUAGAGAGGAAGUCACAAGGACAAGAAUCAUGCCUAUGCCCAUAGGCCUGCCCAGUUCCCUCUUGUGGAUUCUUUUUAGGAGCCUGUCCUACAGUUGGGCCCAAGCAGGAUGAGAAUUUUAAUAAGCAAGUCAGGGAGACUUUAUGUGGUAGAGCAUCAGGAUUGCUUUGAACAGACUACAAUACUGUGUAAGUGACAAGCUGCCCAUAAGAGCCAUGUCAGAGGGUAGAGUACCUCCCCAUCUGAUAGAGUCAGGAAUGAUUCUCAGCUUCUUUCGGAUGGGUCCAUUCAUCAGGUCACUUAAGCUGUCCUUAUGCAGACGUUCAACAUGGCGCUGAUAAAGUUUAACUGAAAGGAAAGAAAAAAGUUUACUCUGCAGCACAGGGUGUUGGAUUUAAAGAUGAUGGAUAUGCACUAAGAUGGUAUCUGAUAAACACCACAAGGCAAAAACAAGUUUUAUCGAGGCUCUUUCAGUUCAGAUUUAAGAAACUCUUUUCUACUGAAACUGCAAUAGUACACAGAGAAAGAGACUUACUGAUUUUUAAGAGGGCUAUAGUAGAAGAUAGAAUCAGCCUAUAGCAUGGUCAAAAGAUAGAUGAGGAACAGAGACAUUAUCUUGUUCUUUUUUCUGCCAGUGCAUAUUGUUCCCAACACUACAUUUCUGGGGCUAAGUUUCUGCUUUACCUAGUAAGCCUGAACAUAAACUUUUCUCAUCACCAGACGAGUUAGUUUUGAGCUGCAACCACUUGUUACUUUUAAAAGUAAGCAGGGCUCUUCACCUCAUUCCUCCACCCCCAUCGGUCUCUGGGAGCCAAGAGAGACAGUAAU